AAAAUGAGAAAGAUCACACAACCUCUUUUGUUGCAACAAUCCUUUGGCCAGGCAGACUAGUGGACAAGGGCGUUCAAAGGUCAGAGGUCAGUCCAAAUUUAAACAGAAGACGGCGGAUCAAAUGUCCUUGCACAAUCGUGGUGUAGUGUGUAAGGUUGUAGAUGCCCUUGUUCGAGGCUGUGAUUCUGUCAGUCUUUGGAGGGCAGUCCUUUUUAUCCAGGACUUGGUGACAGUCGCUACUCCAGGGCUUUCCAGCUUGACCUAAGUGACUCUGUUUUCUCUCUGACAACCUUUACACUUUCCAACCCCACCCUGCGAAGGCCUAUACCUGAUACAAGAUCCCCUAAGCUGUUACCGUUCGUUCCUACGUCAGGACUUGCUCUUACCCUGUUCUCUCUGACCUACAAUGUGCCAUCUCAGGUGACCUUCUGUGUCCCCAUGGCCUGGAGACAACGCAUUGUCCUGGGCUCCCCUGUUCUACCUCCUUUUCCGCCCCUGCCACUCUGGCAAAUUCUACUGUUUAUUAAAGUUCCCACCCUGGCCUGUGAACUGGAAGUGGCUGUAGAUUGUGGAAAGAAAAUGUGGUCUUGUGUGGGAGGUUCCGGCACGGUCUAGAAUUUCAGCACUCUCAGUAAUUCUCACCCUGAGUUGACACAAAGACUAGGAGAACCUUGAUUGUCUUUUUUAAGCUGGGUUUUACACUGUUUUCUUCUCCUGUGUGGUUUGGGAACUAUCGAAGAGAAGAACAAUGCCUAACAAGGAAAAACAGAAAUACUCAAUUGGUGUCUGACUAAUCAGGUUACGACUCAGAUGGACUCUACACCAUUCUCCCCAGCCCUAACCACAGAUAUCAUCACACUGUUUGAAGAUGGAGCCUAGCAGGAGGAAACAAAAGUUGAAUGGUACUGGAAAGUGCGGCCUUAAUCCUGGUGUCCUCGUAAGAAGGAACACAAGUUGUCCCUUUCUACGCAUGUGCAGAAGGCGGUGUGAGGGACCAGUGAGAAACUGGCUGUGUGCCAAGCACAAGAGGAACCUCCUGGGCGACCAUCCCUCCCAGUACAACCUUAGGCUUUCUGCCUCAAGAACUGGUAGGCCAUGAAUUUCUGUUCUCAAAGUCACCUACCUGACCUGUGGCAUUUCGUCAUGACAACCCUGGUGGCUGAAGAUCCUGGGGAAGAGUUUUUCAGGGCAAAAGUCACCGAAGAUGCAGCAGGGAGUGACACAACACAGGAUCACACAAGGGAAGACCAGAAGAUGGCAGUCACUUAGCCAAGGACAGCUGCUGGUAGCUGCUUCCAGAGAGCCAGUUCUGCUGCAGUGCCCAUGUGUCAGGGACAGUGCUGGGAUCUCAGUGUUUUGCAGUAGAUGUAGGCCCUCAAGGAUCUCACGGUGGGUAAAGGACACACAAACACAGUGCCACUACAACAUGGUCAACGGUCAGUGCUGCUUUAAGAAACAAGGCGAGUUGUCAUGUAGAGGAUCUGUCUCAGGGGAGGUGGUGUUUGAGAUGAACAUCAAAUCUGAGACGGGGUUUGCCGGGAGAAGAGAACUGAGAGUGUCAGGCUGGAGAGACAGCUCAGCGGGUAAGAGCACUGACUGUUCUUCCAUAAGUCCUGAGUUCAAUU